UCUCCGUAGGUGAACCUGCGGAGGGAUCAUUACCGAGUGAGGGCUCACGCCCGACCUCCAACCCUUUGUAAUCCAUACCAUGUUGCCUCGGGGGCGACCCGGCCUUCGGGCGUCGGGGCCCCCGGUGGACCAUCAAACCCUGCGUAACUAAGUCGUCGGAGUUUAAACAAAUUAAACAAAACUUUCAACAACGGAUCUCUUGGUUCGGGCAUCGAUGAAGAACGCAGC
rnacentral:misc_RNA from 1 species